ACGACAACGCCUUUCUCAGCCGUUCUUCCUAUUUCGCUUCCCUGUGUGGCCGUUACCGUCGCCACCGGCCAAUGCUCACUCCUACUGCCCUCAACGCCCUCAAAUCCUCAAGGUCAAUAUCUUGGUCGCCGACGGGUAAGUUCCAGCAAACCUUGGCGGGAUGUCUGGAGCUGAGUGGGAUAUCUCUGCAUUCAGGGAAGGUUUCGAAAGUGAAGUUAUGUCCGGAAUUUGCAGGCAGAGGGAGGUAUUUUGAUUUCAAGUCCAAAUUCAUUCCUGCCUCGAUCGAUUAUGCGGAAGAGUCGUCUCUUUGUACGACGCUCUCUAAGGAUGGGUUUAAAAUUCGAACUGUUGAGCAUUUGCUUUCUGCCCUGGAGGCCAUGGGGGUUGACAAUUGUAGGAUUGAGAUUGCGAAUGAAGACGCUAAAGACAGUGAAGUCGAGGUUCCAAUUUUUGAUGGAUCUGCGUGUAAAUGGGUGGAUGCAAUAGAGGAGGUUGGUCUUAAGUUGGCUAUAGACCAGCGUGGCAACUGCUGUGAAAAAAUGGCACCAUAUGUAAAUCAACCUGUCUAUGCGUGGAGGAAUGACUGUUAUCUUGUUGCUUUUCCAGCCUCAAAAGUUCGUAUUACUUAUGGAAUUGACUUUCCUCAGGUGCCUAGCAUUGGCUGCCAAUGGUUUUCUACUGCUCCUUUGGACAAUACAUUCUAUGCCGAGCAAAUAGCUCCAUCAAGAACCUUUUGCAUUUACGAGGAGGUAGAGCAAAUGCGUAAUAUGGGGCUCAUAAGAGGAGGCUCAAUAGAAAAUGCUUUAGUGUGCAGUGUCAGUAAAGGUUGGAUCAAUCCCCCAUUGCGUUUCCAUGAUGAACCUUGUCGCCACAAGGUUUUAGAUUUCAUUGGUGAUAUCUCACUUUUUGCACGGUUAGGCAGUCAAGGGCUUCCGGUGGCACACAUGGUGGUUUACAAGGUAAGUUCUUUGUGAUUUACCUCUCUAGUAUGUGGUUAUUACAUAUAGGAUUACACUACCAAUCAGAUGAUAAGAAUUCUUAGGAGCACAAUCUGAACUUGCUUUGUCUUUUUAUUACGUGGAUACCUUUUAUUUAUUCCUCAAGCAUGUUGUUUCCUGCAUUAUAAGAGCCAGGUAUCUUUUGAUGAUUAUUAACAGUUGAAAGACUCUUCUUGAUUAGCUCUUCUGGAGGGGGUAAUCUCAACCCUCCCUUGUCGUCAGAUUCUUUUUGGUUUCUCUUGAUCCAUACACAUCUCUGUUUCUUACAAAUAUGUGUGUGUUUGUAUAAGGGAAAGGUAUAUUAUCAGUCUCCUUGCUCUAUUAUGUCUUUCUUUGUCCCUUGCCCUUUUUGUAUAUAUUUGUAUAUAUUGAUGACGAACCCUGGUAUUUAGUUUCUCUUGGUGCAUCACAUGAUAGGAAUUUAUGAAUUUGGCGAUCAAAUAUAUUCUAUUGUUUCUUUAUUUCUCUAAUAAGUUCUUGCCUUGUUGUGAUAUGUUAAUGUCAUGCCCUCAAUUAACAUACUUCCAUUUUGCUACUAUGCCAUUUCACUUUGUUUCCAGAAGCUGCAUCAAAUCUAAAAAGUGCUUUAUUUGAGGGUGUGCCAUGACUUUCUCAUUUGAACCUUUAGUUCCCAUAGCAAAUCCUUGUCUUAGUUAUUUGAAUGUUGUUUUUGUGACUGGUGGACAUAUAGACGGAGGUUAUGUAAAUGUGAGCAUUGCUUUUUUUGAACUACUUGAAUUUUUCUGCUGAAAGUUUGAGAGGGAUUUGGUGGUGUUCUUUGUUAGGGAGAACUGUUAAAACGAUUGUAUUUGAGCAGAUUGUAUAGAGGGUUGAGAGUUUUAAUUGAUGUGUCAUUUGGGGAAAUAUUAUGGACACUAUAAAAGGUUGGAUCAAAUCGGAAAUAUCAGUUCAAGAAAAUGUGUCCAAAUUUCUGACGUAAUCGACUAGGGGGGGGCAAAUUGGUCGGCUGACAUUGUUUUGGGCUCAAACCAAUGCUCAUCCCUGACGUGUCAAUUUUGGUCAAUUGGAGUCCUGAAACUUUCUAACCUUUGUACAAAUUGACCAUUCUCGGUCAGUUGGUUUUGAUCGGAUUUUGGUGGAUGCUAGAGAAAGAGUAGAUUAUCAUAGUUGUGUGGCUAAAAAUGUCGAGAUGCAGCUAUAGGAGAGAGUAUAAACCAAAGAACAUAUUAUUUUGUCUUCUUUCUUGUCAUUAGGAAGUUUUUAAUCUUCAUUUUGCUCAAGAAGAAAGAGCAGUGGAGCAUAGUGUUAAUUCUAAAGGUUUUUUCCCUUGGUUAAUCUUGCUACUCAAAGAUUCAUACAAAGAAAGGUAGUUAUGUUAACCAAUAAAGAGGGAAUGAGCCUGAUGAGUUGGCCAAUUCCUAUUUAGGUCGUCUUUUUACCAAGGGUGGUCAUUCUAUGCAUGCCAAUUUUGUUCGCCGCCUAUUGGAAAACAUUUGAGUAGACAAGUAGCUGUCUUUGCUUGCAGAAGUGUAAAAAUAUUCUGCAAUUGAGGCAAUUAAGUCUUUGAAAUUUCUCCUCCGGUUGCUUGGCAGAUGAAACAUUCUGCUGUAAUUUGGGAAAAUAGUUGUGUAAAAUCUAUAAGAACGAUCAACGGGUAGGAUUCUUCACAAUUGCAGUAAUUUCAUAUACUAGAUCGUAUGUUGUAGGAAGUUUUUGUAUUCUUUUAAGCCACAAAUCCAAAUGAGUGAAAAUUGAUUUAGGUUUUCAUCUUAAUAUUGUUUUCUAGUAAAUCCUUAACAGGAUAGAUGAAUAACUACUUGGCUUUUAUCUUCUAGUAUAAAAUUUGCCUAAAUGGAACGAAUAGAUAGAAAAAAUUGGAUGAGAUCAUACGUCUGUAUGGUAUAAAUUACUCACCCUGCUGAUGGUUUAAUCUGUGUACGAAGAGUUGGCUGAUCCAGUGGCAGCCUAUGUGGUUGACCCUACACUUAGUAAUUUUUCACAUUUCUUGAAACUGUUGGACAUGCAUUGGAUUCGUAAGCUAAAUACAUACGCCUUGCAUUAAUUUGCAACAUCAUCCCUCUCCAACCUCAUGAUUUGGGAAGGAUUUUCAACUCUCAGACAAGGAAUGGUGCACUGGAGUUUAUGAGUUGCUGUUUUAUUGAAACCAGUUCUUUGCUCUUUGUUGGUCAUAAUAAUCUAAUGUGGUACUCAUACAGUCAUUAAGUGUAGAGGUUGCAGUAUCUCAGAUCUUGCUGAUAUGCUUGAUUCAGGAACUCUCUGAAGGUGUCCACAACUUCCUUAAUUUAUUCUUAACUCGAUUGUGUGCUCAUCGAGGAGGAUGAUAUCGCCAUGUGAAGAAAGGUACACUUCAAUAAUUGUUUUUUUUUUUUUUUAAUUUUAUUUUUAAUGAUAAUGUUAUUGAUGAUUUAUUAGACUGAGUCAAUACAAAUGGUCAGAAAAUAACAUGGUUAAAUUUUUACGGCUUGGGCUCUUUUAGGUGAUAGAUUCUAAACUUCCCUCCAGGUUAUUAGUGUAGAUGCAAAUUGUAUCUCUGUAUUGUAGGUUGUCUCUGAUAAGGAUUCAUGGUCCUCUAUAUUGAAUUUGAACAUCCACUCUGGGAGUUUUCUUGAACUCUGUUAAUCAUGGCCAUACGGAUUAAAAUCGACAAGUGAUGUUAAAUAUUCUUCGACUUC